rnacentral:rRNA from 1 species
CGGGUGAGUAACACGUGAGCAAUCUGCCCUUGACUCUGGGAUAAGCGUUGGAAACGACGUCUAAUACCGGAUACGAACUUCCCCGGCAUCGGGAGGGGUUGGAAAGAAUUUCGGUCAAGGAUGAGCUCGCGGCCUAUCAGCUUGUUGGUGAGGUAAUGGCUCACCAAGGCGACGACGGGUAGCCGGCCUGAGAGGGUGACCGGCCACACUGGGACUGAGACACGGCCCAGACUCCUACGGGAGGCAGCAGUGGGGAAUAUUGCACAAUGGGCGCAAGCCUGAUGCAGCAACGCCGCGUGAGGGACGACGGCCUUCGGGUUGUAAACCUCUUUUAGCAGGGAAGAAGCGAAAGUGACGGUACCUGCAGAAAAAGCACCGGCUAACUACGUGCCAGCAGCCGCGGUAAUACGUAGGGUGCAAGCGUUGUCCGGAAUUAUUGGGCGUAAAGAGCUCGUAGGCGGUUUGUCGCGUCUGCUGUGAAAUCCCGAGGCUCAACCUCGGGCCUGCAGUGGGUACGGGCAGACUAGAGUGCGGUAGGGGAGAUUGGAAUUCCUGGUGUAGCGGUGGAAUGCGCAGAUAUCAGGAGGAACACCGAUGGCGAAGGCAGAUCUCUGGGCCGUAACUGACGCUGAGGAGCGAAAGCGUGGGGAGCGAACAGGAUUAGAUACCCUGGUAGUCCACGCCGUAAACGUUGGGAACUAGAUGUGGGGACCAUUCCACGGUCUCCGUGUCGCAGCUAACGCAUUAA